UACGUAGGGGGCGAGCGUUGUCCGGAUUUAUUGGGCGUAAAGAGCUCGUAGGCGGUUUGGCAAGUCGGGUGUGAAAACUCCGGGCUCAACUCGGAGACGCCACUCGAUACUGCCAUGACUCGAGUCCGGUAGGGGAGUGCGGAAUUCCUGGUGUAGCGGUGAAAUGCGUAGAUAUCGAGAGGAACACCUGCGGCGAAGGCGGGUUGCUGGGCCGACACUGACGCUGAGGCGCGAAAGCCAGGGGAGCGAACGGG
rnacentral:rRNA from 1 species